UUUGAGAAAACAAAAUAUAUAAAAAGGCCAAAUUAACGGGACUUAAAAACAUAACAGGUUAUAAUUUCCCGAACCCGUUAAAAUAACUAGGAGUAAUUAACCUAGUUAGUGGCUUGUGAUUAAGUGACUAAUGGUGAGGCAUAGCUUUAUUUGAUCAAAAGAAAACCCGAGGGACCAAAACCGUUAAAAAUGGGAAACUUGAAAGAUUAAAACAAAAUAAACACCACCAAACACACACUUAGGUGUGUUUGGUCGAUUAAAAACGCAGGGAACGAGCAGGAGCUUCACACAAACCCUAACUCUCACUAAAUCAAUCAAUUGAAGGCUCUAAUCUGGUCCAAAUCGAAAUCCGAGCACGUAUUAGUGAUCCCCACUGAAAAAGGAGUCACAAGUUUGACUCUGACAAGUAGGUAGGAGCUUGGAAAUGAACGGGUCAAAUGGAUACAAGUUCAAGUAUGAAGCUCGCAAGGAUGCAAGGUAAGUAUAACUUACACUAGUCAUAUAUUUUAGAAUGUUCUUUUGUCGUAUUGACUACGAAUAAGACAAAUGGUAAUUUAGUCACACGUUGACAAUAAUCGUUAGUUUUAAAAGACGCUUUCCCGCGUAAGACAUAAAGAGCCGAAAGUGGUAAUAAACGGUUUAUAAAUAAAAUGAGCAUACGGUGUUAAAAGGAGCGAGUCAUGUAGAUGAGAUGAUAAUAAAUAUUAUCUCGCAAAGAUAAACGGUCAAUUCGGCCAAACGGGUCAAAAGGUGUAGACAUCACCUUUUGACAAUAUCGACUAAUGAUUCUGGUGUCGAGUUAUAUGUUUACAGGAGUAGAUAUCCAAUGGAUACUCGCAUCGCUCUUAAUUAGCAAUUAUAAAGCAAGGUAUUAAACCGGGUUAGUAAGUUGAUCCGAGCCAGGUAUGUAUAAUAGAUUAACUCAUCUGUAGAACUUGAAGUUCUAUGAAAGUUAGGCAAAAUAAAAAAAAGGGCAUUCGAUUACCUUAAUAGGUAAACCGAAGGAUUUAAAUUAUUUAGACAGAAUGUUUUGAAAACAAGAUUUGGUUAAAAAUGAGAAAUUAGAAUCAAACAACAGGUUUGUUUGAUAAAAUCACGAACGGGUCAAAUUUGGUAAAAAGGGUUAAUAAGCCGAAGACUUAAAAGUCUUAAAUUUUGUUAAUCCAGAUGUUGGGUCUUGACUCCAUUUGAUGGAGGUUCAAUUUACAAUCACGUACGAAGAAACGGUAGGUCAAAUGGACAAGCGGAUUAAAAGUUAUGAAGGUUUCCGUUUUAGAAAUCGGCAAACUUGGAAAAUCUUGCAGAGGCCACCGUAAGUUACGGUAGCUACCGUAACUUACGGUAGCCUUAAAAAUCUUUACGCCUUAAACCCACUGACUUACGGUGGAAGAAUCAACAUUCAGGGGCUACCGUAAAUUACGGUAGCCACCGAAAUUUACGGUAACAAAAUUUAUUUUAAUCAGUUUCGUUUCCCAGAACUCGUUAGACACGUUUAUAACCCCCGUAAGACUAAAGCAUUUCUUGUUUAUGAAAUGUAGGUACAUUUUGGAUGCCGGAAGACGAUCAAGCUCAUUGGAGAACCGAACACGAUAUAGAUACACGCUUCCGCACAUUGCCACGUUGUAAAUUUUAAACAACGAACUCAAUUACGUUUGUUGGAUAACUUAUGAUUUGUAAAAGUUUUAAUAAACCCGCAUUUUGUAUAGUAUGUGUGGUCUUAACUACACAUCUAAUUGUGGUAUUUUCAUGUAAAAUUGUAAUUUAGUAACUAGGGUGUUACAGUGGUAGUAUAUUCCCUGCAAUCUACCCCACUCAUUC